AUGAACGCUGGCGGCGUGCCUAAUACAUGCAAGUCGAGCGAACGGACGAGAAGCUUGCUUCUCUGAUGUUAGCGGCGGACGGGUGAGUAACACGUGGAUAACCUACCUAUAAGACUGGGAUAACUUCGGGAAACCGGAGCUAAUACCGGAUAAUAUUUUGAACCGCAUGGUUCAAAAGUGAAAGACGGUCUUGCUGUCACUUAUAGAUGGAGCCGCGCUGCAUUAGCUAGUUGGUAAGGUACCGGCUUACCAAGGCAACGAUGCAUAGCCGACCUGAGAGGGUGAUCGGCCACACUGGAACUGAGACACGGUCCAGACUCCUACGGGAGGCAGCAGUAGGGAAUCUUCCGCAAUGGGCGAAAGCCUGACGGAGCAACGCCGCGUGAGUGAUGAAGGUCUUCGGAUCGUAAAACUCUGUUAUUAGGGAAGAACAUAUGUGUAAGUAACUGUGCACAUCUUGACGGUACCUAAUCAGAAAGCCACGGCUAACUACGUG
rnacentral:rRNA from 1 species